rnacentral:rRNA from 1 species
GAUGAACGCUGGCGGCGUGCCUAAUACAUGCAAGUCGAGCGAACAGAUGAGGAGCUUGCUCCUCUGACGUUAGCGGCGGACGGGUGAGUAACACGUGGAUAACCUACCUAUAAGACUGGGAUAACUUCGGGAAACCGGAGCUAAUACCGGAUAAUAUAUUGAACCGCAUGGUUCAAUAGUGAAAGACGGUUUUGCUGUCACUUAUAGAUGGAUCCGCGCCGCAUUAGCUAGUUGGUAAGGUAACGGCUUACCAAGGCGACGAUGCGUAGCCGACCUGAGAGGGUGAUCGGCCACACUGGAACUGAGACACGGUCCAGACUCCUACGGGAGGCAGCAGUAGGGAAUCUUCCGCAAUGGGCGAAAGCCUGACGGAGCAACGCCGCGUGAGUGAUGAAGGUCUUCGGAUCGUAAAACUCUGUUAUGAGGGAAGAACAAAUGUGUAAGUAACUAUGCACGUCUUGACGGUACCUAAUCAGAAAGCCACGGCUAACUACGUG